rnacentral:rRNA from 1 species
CCUGUGCUGGGGGAUAACCUCGCGAAAGUGAGAACAAUACCCCAUGGGUCACUAUGCCUGGAACGGUUAGUGGCUGAAAGCUCCGGCGGCACAGGAUGGGUCUGCGGCGUAUCAGGUCGUAGGGGGUGUAACGUACCUCCUAGCCUUCGACGCGUACGGGUUGUGAGAGCAAUUGCCCGGAGAUGGAUUCUGAGACACGAAUCCAGGCCCUACGGGGCGCAGCAGGCGCGAAAACUUGACAAUGCGAGAAAUCGUGAUCAGGGGACUCCAGUUGGCUGGAUCAAAAGUCCAGUCUGAACCGACUUUAAAUCGGUCGGGUAAUAGGGGCGGGAAAGACCGGUGCCAGCCGCCGCGGUAAUACCGGCGCCCCAAGUGGUCGUCACUAUUAUUGGGCCUAAAACGUCCGUAGCCGGUUUGGUAAAUCCGUGGGUAAAUCAGACAGCCCAACUGUCUGAAUUCUGCGGGGACUGCCAGACUUGAGACCGGGAGAGGUGCGGGGUACUUGCGGGGUACCGGUAAAAUGGGAUCAUCCCGUAGAGACCACCUGUUGCGAAGGCGCCGCACUAGAACGGAUCUGACGGUCAGGGACGAAGCCUAGGGGCACGAACCGGAUUAGAUACCCGGGUAGUCCUAGGUGUAAACGUUGUGGACUUGGUGUCGGGGACCUUCUGAGGGUUUCCGGUGCCGGAGUGAAGAUGUUAAGUCCACUGCCUGGGGAGUACGUC